rnacentral:rRNA from 1 species
GGCGUCCGGGUGAGUAACACGUGGGUAAUCUGCCUUCGGGUGGGGAAUAACCCAGGGAAACUUGGGCUAAUACCGCAUAAUGCAGCGGCACCUAAUGGUGAUUAGUUGUUAAAGCGGGGGAUCGCAAGACCUCGCGCCUGAAGAGGAGCCUGCGGCAGAUUAGCUAGUUGGUGAGGUAAUGGCUCACCAAGGCAUCGAUCUGUAGCUGGUCUGAGAGGACGGCCAGCCACACUGGCACUGACACACGGGCCAGACUCCUACGGGAGGCAACAGUGGGGAAUUUUGGGCAAUGGGCGCAAGCCUGACCCAGCAACGCCGCGUGAGGGAGGAAAUCCUUCGGGAUGUAAACCUCACAAGCAAGGGAAGAGCGCUUUCGGUCAAAUAAAUCGAAAGUUCGACGGUACCUUGCGUAAGCCACGGCUAACUACGUGCCAGCCGCCGCGG